GUCGAGCGGACAGAUGGGAGCUUGCUCCCUGAAGUCAGCGGCGGACGGGUGAGUAACACGUGGGCAACCUGCCUGUAAGACUGGGAUAACUCCGGGAAACCGGGGCUAAUACCGGAUAAUUCUUUCCCUCACAUGAGGGAAAGCUGAAAGAUGGUUUCGGCUAUCACUUACAGAUGGGCCCGCGGCGCAUUAGCUAGUUGGUGAGGUAACGGCUCACCAAGGCAACGAUGCGUAGCCGACCUGAGAGGGUGAUCGGCCACACUGGGACUGAGACACGGCCCAGACUCCUACGGGAGGCAGCAGUAGGGAAUCUUCCGCAAUGGACGAAAGUCUGACGGAGCAACGCCGCGUGAGUGAUGAAGGUUUUCGGAUCGUAAAACUCUGUUGUUAGGGAAGAACAAGUACCGGAGUAACUGCCGGUACCUUGACGGUACCUAACCAGAAAGCCACGGCUAACUACGUGCCAGCAGCCGCGGUAAUACGUAGGUGGCAAGCGUUGUCCGGAAUUAUUGGGCGUAAAGCGCGCGCAGGCGGUUCCUUAAGUCUGAUGUGAAAGCCCCCGGCUCAACCGGGGAGGGUCAUUGGAAACUGGGGAACUUGAGUGCAGAAGAGAAGAGUGGAAUUCCACGUGUAGCGGUGA
rnacentral:rRNA from 1 species